GAGUUUGAUCCUGGCUCAGGACGAACGCUGGCGGCGUGCCUAACACAUGCAAGUCGAACGAAGCAUUGGAAGCUUGCUUUUGAUGCUUAGUGGCGGACGGGUGAGUAACGCGUGAGCAACCUGCCUUUCAGAGGGGGAUAACGUUUGGAAACGAACGCUAAUACCGCAUAACAUAUCUGGGUCGCAUGAUUGAGAUAUCAAAGGAGCAAUCCGCUGAAAGAUGGGCUCGCGUCCGAUUAGCUAGUUGGCGGGAUAACAGCCCACCAAGGCGACGAUCGGUAGCCGGACUGAGAGGUCGAACGGCCACAUUGGGACUGAGACACGGCCCAGACUCCUACGGGAGGCAGCAGUGGGGGAUAUUGCACAAUGGAGGAAACUCUGAUGCAGCAACGCCGCGU
rnacentral:rRNA from 1 species